GACAAUGAAAAGGACUCAUUUCCUAAAAGCUAUCAAAACAUAAUCAAGGGAAGAAGGGAUCUAAAACGUAUCAUGUAUUGUGAGUAGGACAUCGUCAAAGAACAACAGGGAUACAUCACAUUCUCCUUUAUAGGUUGUCACUGUUAAAGAAGAGCUAAAUAUCUUAAUGAUCUUAUUCACUUAAAUAUCAAAACAUACCAGAUUUGUGCUUCUCUAUUUUGACACACACACACACUCAUUCUCCUUCUCUCAGUAUGUUAACUCUAAUCUCCCGAAUCCUGGCACACACAUGAUAUACUAUAAUAGGACACCUACAUUUUAACACUAUUGAGUUAAGGGACCUAAGGGCCAAGGCAUCACCAGUGGCAUCAUUUUAAAGGAGAUGUCGUUGGAGGAGAAUGUUCUUUCGUAGCUCCUACAAAUACUGGUUGCCUAGCUGCCGAUCUUGUAUACACCUAUGGUUUCAAUGGCGUAGUCCUAAUCAAUUAACUUCUGUUUUUUCUUCCUGGAAACAGAAUCCAGAGUUGUAGAUUCAUUGUUUGCUUUUCUCCUUAACUCGUUCAAGUCUUCCUCACUGACCAAGCCAUUCAGCUUCUUGUUCAAUGCAUAUGCUUCACCAAGUCUCAUCUUACAUUCUUUGCUUGCAGAAUCAUGGGAAACAACUGGUUUGGGAUAAUCUACGCCAAUGAUGCAUUUUGCUUUACGUUGGACACUUAUAGGAGCAGUCCAAGGCUCAUAUAUAUACUCCUUAGGCAUAUCUUUUAAAACAGGAAGAAAAUGCCUGAUAUAGUUCCCGGCAGGAUCAUACUUUUUUCCAAAUGAGAUUGGUGAAUAAAUCCGAUUAUACUGGUAGAAAAAUGAAGAGCAUGAUAGCCACAACCAGUUUCCGUUGUUGAUUGCCCAAUCAGAGUCAAUAAGCAGUCUUUCAAAAACAUGACGUCCUCUCUCCCAAUGCACAAACAGA
rnacentral:misc_RNA from 1 species